rnacentral:rRNA from 1 species
GAUGAACGCUGGCGGCGUGCCUAAUACAUGCAAGUCGAGCGAACGGACGAGAAGCUUGCUUCUCUGAUGUUAGCGGCGGACGGGUGAGUAACACGUGGAUAACCUACCUAUAAGACUGGGAUAACUUCGGGAAACCGGAGCUAAUACCGGAUAAUAUUUUGAACCGCAUGGUUCAAAAGUGAAAGACGGUCUUGCUGUCACUUAUAGAUGGAUCCGCGCUGCAUUAGCUAGUUGGUAAGGUAACGGCUUACCAAGGCAACGAUGCAUAGCCGACCUGAGAGGAUGAGCAGCCACACUGGAACUGAGACACGGGCCAGACUCCUACGGGAGGCAGCAGUGGGGAAUAUUGGACAAGGGGCGAAAGCCUGAUGCAGCAAUACCGCGUGAGUGAUGAAGGCCUUCGGAUUGUAAAACCCUUUUGUUGGGAAAGAAAAGCAGCAGGUUAAUACCCCGAUGUUCUGACGGUACCCAAAGAAUAAGCAACGGCUAACUUCGUG